GUUGUUUGAGGCGGUAAAUUCCGUUGCAACCACGCACCCUAUGGGUUAAAAGAGAUGCAGGAGCCGCGACACCUGCCAAAUAAC
rnacentral:ncRNA from 12 species